GGACAUUAUUUCCAAGGCUUCGAACCGAGAUGUACCACAUGUGCACUCUUCGAAUAAUGCAUUUUUCAACGCUUAAAAUACAUUUGACUCCAAGAAAAUACUCCCAAUUAUAAAGUGUAAAUGACUUCGCACAAGGAACUUGUAAGGAUCAUGCUUUACAAAUGUUUUUAUUUGCUCAAAGAUUUAGAUGUGUUGUAUUAUAAUAUUCGGUCUUUAUCAACAUUAUAUACUUUCAAAUAAAAUUCACAAUAAAUU
rnacentral:lncRNA from 1 species